rnacentral:rRNA from 1 species
GACGUAGGGGGCAAGCGUUAUUCGGAAUUAUUGGGCGUAAAGCGCUCGUAGGCGGGACUGGAAGUCCGUGUUGAAAGACCUCGGCUCAACUGAGGGACCGGCUCGGAUACUCUAGUUCUUGAGGCAAUCAGAGGGUGAUGGAAUUCCCGGUGAAGCAGUGAAAUGCACAGAGAUCGGGAAGAACACCAGUGGCGAAGGCGCUCUACUAGGCCGUGACUGACACUGAGAGACGAUAGCUAGGGGAGCGAAUAGG